AUCACUCUUUGAUUUUUCAUCCUAGAGAGAACAUGAAGAAAGCUACUAUUAUCCUGUUUGUCGUGGUUGCCUUCGUGGCACUGUGCUCCGCGGAACCAGAACCUGAACCAGAACCAGCAGAUACCGAUCCUAAAGCCGUAGAAGCACCCAAGCUUCCAGCCAAGAAAUUGAAGAAACGCCCGAUUAUAGCCUCUGAAAAAAAAGAUGAUAAACCAACGGAUACCAAAUCUGGUACUGAUGACAAAAAGAAACCUUUAAAAAAAGGAGCAAGUGCCAAGAAAAGCCCUAAAAAAGCAGGUAAACAGCCAAAAGAUAUGAGUCAGCAGCAGCAGCAGCAGCAGGUCAAACCUGCUGACCCUCCCGCACAAUAAAGCCCCUGAUGAGUUUGUUUGAAACAGAAUAAACAAACGCGCGCCUAAGUGCGAAAUCUCUCAA